rnacentral:lncRNA from 1 species
GCCUCUCCCCUUGCCCGAGCUCUCAGCCGCCACCAGGAGACUGACACGGAAGGGGCUUCUGGGCCGCCCCCCACCAACUCCUGCCUGGUUUCCCAAACUUCAGCGACCUCCAGCCCUCUUUGGGUGGAAAAUAGCAGGGCCCAGGCACCUCUUCUUCUUGUCAUUUGUGACCCGUGCUCUCAUCAGGAAUAUCUUACAAAGAAGGAGAGGAAGAAAGGCUGGCUAGAGCCCUGUUUAUAUCUAGUUCUGCAGAUCCCUUCACAUCUGGAGAGUUUAUUUAUAACUCCCACUAUAACUCUCUCUGUUUGGAGGCACUGGUGGCUCUAUUGACAGACUGAUGUCUAGAAAAUAUUGCUCUAUCUCUAACCAUAUCUAAAUGUGCUGCGGUUGUAUGUACAGAUUUAUGCUCGAGGGAAAUAUAAUUAUUUCCAUUGUAUUUGUGCAUAUACAAUAGUUAUAGGAGCAGAUUUAUAUAUGGGAAAAUAUAUGACUCUCUUAUAGCCAUCCAGCUUUAUGGACAUUUGAUAUCCUGACAGAUUUAUAGCUCUGAGCAGCUAUAUAGAUAAAUGCAUAUCGUGGAAAUUAUGUAUCAGGAGAUAUAUACUUAUUGAUUGUGAUAUAGAGUAGUUAGAGCAUUCACUUAGCGCCCUAUAUGGCUAUGGAGUUGUUUCUAUAUUAUUAUCACUAUAUAUAGGCAUAUCUAUUUAUAAUGACAUAGUUAUAAAAAUAGACAUAAGUAAUUAUAGUCCUAUAUGUACAUGCUGCUAUCUUGCUAGAGUUAUAGACCCUUGUGCGUAUAACUCUGUAGGGAUAUCUGUAUGUAUAUAAGGGUGUAAUUAUCUCAUGAUGUGUGUGUCCUGGGGCUUAGGCCAGUCUGUCUCUGUUCAGGCAUAUUUAUAUGCAGGGGCUGGGAGAGACUUGUUCACGGAAAUGUUUUCAGAGGGCCACCUCAGAGGCUGUAUCUGGCCAUCUAGGAAACCAGAGUUCUUUGCUUCACGGAGGGCUGGAGUUACCAAGGGGUGAACAGAGCCUAGGAAGCCUCCCGGGAGAGGAGGCAGAAGGUCACCUCACCUCAAUCCACUCCCUAAAACUGGCCAAGACCUGGAGAGGGGCUGAAGAUCUCAGUGGAAAAGAAUCCCGUGCACGCAGGCAUCUCCUACUUUUUCCCCACUACGCGCCCCGUCUGGAGAUGCAGCUGAAACUCUAAUUAUUUCCCCCCAUUACAUGGAUGAGGAAGUGGAGGCCUCUCGCUGGGGAAGUGAUUUGUUUAAGGCAACUAGGAGCAGAGAGCUCUGACAAGAAUUCCGGCAGUCCGACUCCCACCCAGGGUUCUUCUCAUUGGACCGUGCAUAAACAUGAACCUCAUGCAGCCAUAAAAUAGAGAAUUUCUGAAUAAAUACCUAUCCGAUUAAUGAAAUUACUGAGGCUCCAGUUGCACGUACAUUUGCAUGGUGCUUACCUAGACAAGGCUAUGGACACCCAAGAGUUGCACAUUUGCAUCUGCGGAGACAAACACACACCUCAGUUCACACGGCUAUGCUUCCCUUAGUUCUACACUUGUAGAUCAGUUAUUUUGAAAAGGUAUGCUGCGCAGGAUGUACAGGGGGAAAAAAAGAAAAAGGGGUUCAGAUCGUUUCCUCCAGGCGUGCCUGUUCUGAGCGCUGCCGUGAAGAACUGGGCUAUCGACAUACCCCCGGUGAGAAGGUACCAACAGGACACUUGGAAGGAAGAGAGAGCCCUGAAAUUAGGCAUAUGGAGCCCAGAACCAUAAACACACAGAGAGUUUGGUGAGAAAGGUAAAACAUGGGUGAGCUGUUGCCCUGUGCCUCUUAAUAAACUGCAACUUUGCACACAGGGAUACGCGAUUUUUUUCUCGCUCUCAUACAUGGAUAUGCUCAGAUAAAGCCAUCACAUAUAUUUCCAUAAACAGUGUAUGGCACCCGGCCACCUUCAUAUACAUGUCAUGCAGCCAUGUCUUUAGGGAGAGGGAUACCUGGGCACAGGUAUAGGAAUCAGAGAAACAGGACUUCUGGUCUCCUGUCCACCUCUUGCUGAGCAUGUCACCUUCAGCAAGUCACAUCACCCCUCUUUGGCUCAGUGACCCCUUUGGAAAAAAAAAAGAUAGAUAUGAAUAGCUAAGCUGCUCAUGUCAAACUAUGCUAAAUAUUAAAAAACUAUUUUAUCUAUAAAUCUAUAUUUUAUUCUAUGAAUCACACUAAAAUAAUGAAUACACACCUAUAACAUACACAGCAUGUAAAUAUUUCUACGUAUCUAUCUAUCUAUAUUUAUCUAUCUUUCUGUCAAAUUUAAUCUCUGAGAUAGAGAAAUUCAGUAACUUGCCCAAGAUAACACAAUUCAAAUACAGCAUGGACCAGUGAAACGAUGAUGUGUUUUGGAGGUAGAAGCAGCAGUAAAGAGCC